rnacentral:tRNA from 1 species
GCCGGGUUGGCGGAACCGGUAGACGCGAUGGUCUCAAACACCAUUGUUCGCAAGGACAUGCCGGUUCGAGUCCGGCACCCGGUACGA